rnacentral:rRNA from 1 species
UACGGAGGGUGCGAGCGUUGUCCGGAAUCACUGGGCGUAAAGGGCGCGUAGGCGGCGCGGGCAGUCAACGGUGAAAGCUUGGGGCUCAACCCCGAGUCGGCCGUCGAUACUCCCGCGCUCGAGCACUGUAGAGGCAGGUGGAAUUCCGGGUGUAGCGGUGGAAUGCGUAGAGAUCCGGAAGAACACCGGUGGCGAAGGCGGCCUGCUGGGCAGUAGCUGACGCUGAGGAGCGAAAGCGUGGGGAGCGAACAGG